CCUACGGGUGGCAGCAGUGAGGAAUAUUGGUCAAUGGACGCAAGUCUGAACCAGUCAUGCCGCGUGCAGGAGGACGGCUCUAUGGGUUGUAAACUGCUUUUGUACGAGGGUAAACGCCGGUACGCAUAUCUGUCUGAACGUAUCUUACGGAUAAGGAUCGGCUAACUCCGUGCCAGCAGCCGCGGUAAUACGGAGGAUUCAAGCGUUAACCGGAUUUAUUGGGUUUAGAGGGUGCGUAGGCGGUCGGAUAAGUUAGAGGUGAAAUCCCGAGGCUCAACUUCGGAAUUGCCUCUGAUACUGGUAGGCUAGAGAGUAGUUGAGGUAGGUGGAAUGUAUGGUGUAGCGGUGAAAUGCUUAGAGAUCAUACAGAACACCGAUUGCGAAGGCAGCUUACCAAGCUAUGUCUGACGUUGAGGAACGAAAGCGUGGGGAGCAAACAGGAUUAGAUACCCUGGUAGUC
rnacentral:rRNA from 1 species